AUGCGGACUCGCGUAUCCAGUCGCAGCCGCGUCCCACCACCACGCGCCUGCACCGCAUCUACUCGUCGUCGCCCGGCCGAAGCGAGCUUCACCCUGGCCAGGAGGCGUCGCGUGGACCGUCUCCUGCGCCGGCAGCCGCGGAAGCAGGCAGAUCCCGGCGAGGACCGUGUCAGCGCCCUCCCCGAUGACCUCCUCCUCCUCGUCCUGCGUCGCCUCGACACCCGCGCGGCGCUCGGCGCCGGGCUGCUCUCCAAGCGCUGGGCUGGCCUCCCCCGCGAGCUCCCCGCCCUCGACCUCAGGGUCAGCGACGUACUCCCGCCGCGCUACCGGCGGUGGCUCCUCCGCUACCGUGACAUCUUCAGCAGCGGAACCUUUGCGCUGUACAGGCAUCGCCUCGGGCAUCACGAGUUCGUGCCCAGCAUGACGAGGUACGAGCGCCGCGCCAUGCGCGCCUUCACCAGCUCCGUCGAGGGUCUCCUGGGCUCCCGAGCUCGCCGGAGGGUCAGCAGCCUCAGGCUCGAGUUCUUCAUCACGGGCAACACCGGCUGCGUCAACCGGCUGAUUUCCCAGGCCAUGGAUGCUUGGGGUGUCGACGACCUCGAGGUCAUCGCCCGGCCGACAUUCCGGCAGCAGACCGUGCACGCCUUCCCUAGCCAUGGCCUCUGCUCCUCGCCCCGGUUGUCACGCCUGCAAAACCUCAAGCUUGGGGGCUGUGUCAUCCCGCAUCUGCUGCAUGAGUACCACGCGCUCACUAGGCUCGUCCUGCAAGACGUUGCCGAGUCACCUCCGGCCGCCUACGAGGGCGUCUUCGACUCGUGCCCGCAGCUGCAGGUGGUGCACCUCAAGUCCUGUCUCUGCGGCGGCAGGGACAUGGUCAUGGUUGUGGAUGCCCCCAGCUCGCAGAUCAGGGAGUUGGUUGUGGACAAGUGUGAAAUAGGAUCAAUAUGGUUGAGGGAUCUUCCCAAUCUGGAGCGUCUGGCCUCCCUGGGCACACGACUGUUCUUCGAGUCCACUGCAUUCCCAUGCCUAAGGCAAUGGAGCCUCGCCCGCUGCCACGGUGUCGACUUGGAUGGGUUUCGACAACGCUUUCGGCAGCACCUGGAGCUUGACUUGUUUCUUGGACACACCCCGGACAUUACCGACCUGAUCAUCCGGUUCACGGGGCCCGACAGAUGGAUCGUGCCAUCUAUCUCACCAUCCGUUUUGUUACCUAACCUGAGGCGGCUGUUGGUCGCCGAUGUGCCUUCGUCCUGGGACGUCUCUUGGCCCCGUCUUCUCUUUGAGAUGGCGCCUUCCCUCGAGAGUUUUCACAUCCACAUUGCCUCUUGCAUGGAGGAGCCCAGUCCCAAUGAAGAAAUAUCCUGGUGGCCGACAAAGUUUCGGCAGCAUCGCUUGAAGGAGUUUGUGAUGGCUGGUUUUGAGGCAACAGAGAGGCAGAUUUACCUUAUCAAGUUUGUCAUGGCCGUAUGCACGGCGUUGCGUCAUGUCAGCAUGUUCAAGAAUGGGCAUGCUCAGGACAAGGGGCACUGGGAAUGGGAGAUGGUGACACAGCAACACUCAUGGACUGAGGAGGACAAGGACGACACGCUCAAUCAGAUUAUGGGCACGGCAUCUUCAACAGCAGCUCCGGUUCAACUGGUUUUAGGCUGA
rnacentral:rRNA from 1 species